rnacentral:ncRNA from 1 species
UAAAACCCGCACGCGUAAUGAAAGUGAACGUAGGUGAGAGCUUCGGCGCAUCAUCGACCGAUCCUGAUGUAUUCGGAUGGAUUUGAGUAAGAGCGUUAAGCCUUGGACCCGAAAGAUGGUGAACUAUGCUUGGAUAGGGUGAAGCCAGAGGAAACUCUGGUGGAGGCUCGCAGCGGUUCUGACGUGCAAAUCGAUCGUCAAAUCUGAGCAUGGGGGCAAAGCUAAUCGAACCAUCUAGUAGCUGGUUACCGCCGAAGUUUUCCCCUCAGGAUAGCAGUGUUGUUCUUCAGUUUUAUGAGGUAAAGCGAAUGAUUAGGGACUCGGGGGCGCUUUUUAGCCUUCAUCCAUUCUCAAACUUUAAUAUGUAAGAAGCCCUUGUUACUUAAUUGAACGUGGGCAUUCGAAUGUACCAACACUAGUGGGCCUAUUUUUGGUAAG